UACGUAGGGUGCGAGCGUUAAUCGGAAUUAUUGGGCGUAAAGCGCACGCAGGCGGCAAAGUAAGUCAGUUGUGAAACUCCUGGGCUCAACCUGGGAACUGCGUUUGAAACUACAAGGCUAGAGUGUGGCAGAGGGGGGUGGAAUUCCACGUGUAGCAGUGAAAUGCGUAGAGAUGUGGAGGAACACCGAUGGCGAAGGCAGCCCCCUGGGUUAACACUGACGCUCAGGCACGAAAGCGUGGGGAGCAAACAGG
rnacentral:rRNA from 1 species